UCAGAACACGCAAGUUCGAAACGAAGGGCCUUCUCCUCCGGGAGGAGCGUCCUUAAGCGGCGCACGGGCGAGUAACGCGCGGGAAAUCUACCCCCGAGUACGGGACGACAUUCUGGAAACGGACGCUAAUACCGUAUAAUACCUCCGGGUCAAAGUGUUAAGCGCUCGGGGAUGAGCCCGCGUCUGAUUAGGUUCGUUGGUGGGGUAACGGCCUACCAAGCCGACGAUCAGUAGCUGGUUUGAGAGGAUGAUCAGCCACACUGGUACUGAGACACGGACCAGACUCCUACGGGAGGCAGCAGUCAGGAAUCUUGGACAAUGGGGGCAACCCUGAUCCAGCCAUGCCGCGUGGGUGAAGAAGGCCUUCGGGUUGUAAAACCCUUUCAGGUGGGAAGAUGAUGACGGUACCACCAGAAGAAGCCCCGGCUAAAUUCGUGCCAGCAGCCGCGGUAAUACGAAUGGGGCGAGCGUUGUUCGGAAUCACUGGGCGUAAAGCGUGCGUAGGCGGACUGGCAAGUCAGAAGUGAAAGCCCAGGGCUCAACCCUGGAAUUGCUUUUGAAACUGCAAGUCUGGAGUCCGGGAGAGGCUGGCGGAAUUCCCAGUGUAGAGGUGAAAUUCGCAGAUAUUGGGAGGAACACCAGUGGCGUAAGCGGCCAGCUGGCCCGGAACUGACGCUGAGGCACGAAAGCGUGGGGAGCAAACAGGAUUAGAUACCCUGGUAGUCCACGCCGUAAACGAUGUGUGCUAGUUGUUGGGCAGCCUAGCUGUUCAGUGACGCAGUUAACGCAUUAAGCACACCGCCUGGGGAGUACGGCCGCAAGGUUAAAACUCAAAGGAAUUGACGGGGACCCGCACAAGCGGUGGAGCAUGUUGUUUAAUUCGAAGCAACGCGAAGAACCUUACCUGCCCUUGACAUCCCGGUCGCGGGAUUUGGAGACAUUUCCCUUCAGUUCGGCUGGACCGGUGACAGGUGCUGCAUGGCUGUCGUCAGCUCGUGUCGUGAGAUGUUGGGUUAAGUCCCGCAACGAGCGCAACCCCUAUCGUCUGUUGCCAUCGGUUCGGCCGGGCACUCUGGCGAGACUGCCGGUGAUAAGCCGGAGGAAGGCGGGGACGACGUCAAGUCAUCAUGGCCCUUACGGGCAGGGCUACAAACGUGCUACGAAUGGCAGCUACGAUGGGCAGCGAGGUCGCGAGGCCGAGCAAAUCCUUAAAAGCUGCCUCGAGUUCGGAUUGUACUCUGCGAACUCGAGUGCAUGAAAGUAGGAAAUCGCUAGUGAAUCGCUGAUCGGCGUGCGGCGGUGGAUACGUUUCCCGGGUUCUUGUCGCGCUCGCCCGGUCGCGUCGUGGAGGUUGGCUGACCCGAAGAACGGUGUGCGACCUCUUUGAGGGGGUGGUCGGCCUCGGCCAGGUUCAGCGGACUGGGCCAG
rnacentral:rRNA from 1 species